rnacentral:rRNA from 4 species
GACUGCAGGACACAUGAACAUCGACAUUUCGAACGCACAUUGCGGCCCUGGGAUCCUGAUCCAAGGGCCACGCCUGUCUGAGGGUCG